rnacentral:rRNA from 1 species
AAUCAACGCUGGCGGCGCGCUUAACACAUGCAAGUCGGACGAGAAAGGGGAGCAAUCCCUGAGUAGAGUGGCGUACGGGUGAGUAACACGUGGAUGAUCCACCUCUUAGUGGGGAAUAUCUCUGGGAAACCGGAGUUAAUACCGCAUAAGCUCGAGAGAGGAAACCUGCAAAGGGCUGAGAGAGGAGUCCGCGGCCGAUUAGCUAGUUGGUAGGGUAACGGCCUACCAAGGCUUUGACGGGUAGCUGGUCUGAGAGGACGAUCAGCCACACUGGCACUGCGACACGGGCCAGACUCCUACGGGAGGCAGCAGUAAGGAAUAUUGCGCAAUGGGCGAAAGCCUGACGCAGCGACGCCGCGUGGGGGAUGAAGGUCUUCGGAUUGUAAACCCCUUUCGGGAGGGAAGAUGGAGCGAGCAAUCGUUCGGACGGUACCUCCAGAAGCAGCCACGG